rnacentral:tRNA from 1 species
AUAGGGGCGGAUGUAGCCAAG